ACACAGCCACGUCUGUCCAAAUUCAUUCUCCCUGGCAGAAUCCUGCUCUUGUAUUUCAGAGACUGAGACCUUUGUUUCCUGAGUAUGAGGCGCUUCAGCUGGCAAGAGAAGCUUCAAAUCUCUGCAAUUUACAUCCUUAACGUCCUCUUAUUCCACCAACUUGAGAAAACUCUGCCUUUAAAGGAGUCCUGGGAUUGUGUUAGAAGGAUUGAGAAAAUCUUAUCUGUGCUUGACUAAUCUGAACUGCAGUGGCUUUCUAGUCUGAGGAUGAUUUUUGCCUUAAGAGUAGUCAGAAGAGGAGUCUUCAACUUCUAGAGCACUGGGAUCAAAGGCAAGCAUCACUGAGCUCUCUCAGACGCUGUACCACCAACCAGGCACAGAGAGCUGGUCUGAGGCCCCCGACACAUACACAGCAAAGGACUGCCUGGUCUGGCCUCAGUGGGAGAAGAUGUGGGCCUAAACCUUGAGAGACUUGAGGCCCCGGGGGUGGGUGGCCCGGCCAGGGGGCAGGGGACAACCUCUUAGAGACAGGAGGAGGAGGAGGAAUAGGAUGAGGGACUGUAGGAGGGCAAACCAAAAGAGGGUUAACAACUGGACUGCAAAAAAAAUAAAAGUAAUUCUUAAAAAAAAAAAAAAAAA
rnacentral:lncRNA from 1 species